rfam:Ovis aries breed Texel chromosome 9, whole genome shotgun sequence.
CCCUGAUUGGCUUAGACAGUAAAGAAUCUGCCUGCAAUGCAGGAGACAUGGGUUUGAUCCCUGGAUCAGGAA